rnacentral:rRNA from 1 species
UACGAAGGGUGCAAGCGUUAAUCGGAAUUACUGGGCGUAAAGCGCGCGUAGGUGGUUCAGUAAGUUGGAAGUGAAAUCCCCGGGCUCAACCUGGGAACUGCUUUCAAAACUGCUGAGCUAGAGUACGGUAGAGGGUGGUGGAAUUUCCUGUGUAGCAGUGAAAUGCGUAGAUAUAGGAAGGAACACCAGUGGCGAAGGCGACCACCUGGACUGAUACUGACACUGAGGUGCGAAAGCGUGGGGAGCAAACAGG